rnacentral:misc_RNA from 1 species
GAAAUGCGAUAAGUAAUGUGAAUUGCAGAAUUCAGUGAAUCAUCGAAUCUUUGAACGCACAUUGCCCCCGCCAGUAUUCUGGCGGGCAUGCCUGUUCGAGCGUCAUUACAACCCUCAGGCCCCCGGGCCUGGCGUUGGGGAUCGGCGGAAGCCCCCUGCGGGCACAACGCCGUCCCCCAAAUACAGUGGCGGUCCCGCCGCAGCUUCCAUUGCGUAGUAGCUAACACCUCGCAACUGGAGAGCGGCGCGGCCACGCCGUAAAACACCCAACUUCUGAAUGUUGACCUCGAAUCAGGUAGGAAUACCCGCUGAACUUAAGC